AGUGAACGCUGGCGGCAGGCCUAACACAUGCAAGUCGAACGAACUCUUCGGAGUUAGUGGCGGACGGGUGAGUAACACGUGGGAACGUGCCUUUAGGCUCGGAAUAACUCAGGGAAACUUGUGCUAAUACCGAAUGUGCCCUUCGGGGGAAAGAUUUAUCGCCUUUAGAGCGGCCCGCGUCUGAUUAGCUAGUUGGUGGUGUAAUGGACCACCAAGGCGACGAUCAGUAGCUGGUCUGAGAGGAUGAUCAGCCACAUUGGGACUGAGACACGGCCCAAACUCCUACGGGAGGCAGCAGUGGGGAAUCUUGCGCAAUGGGCGAAAGCCUGACGCAGCCAUGCCGCGUGAAUGAUGAAGGUCUUAGGAUUGUAAAAUUCUUUCACCGGGGACGAUAAUGACGGUACCCGGAGAAGAAGCCCCGGCUAACUUCGUGCCAGCCGCCGCAGUAA
rnacentral:rRNA from 1 species